rnacentral:rRNA from 1 species
GACGAGGGGUCCUAGCGUUGUUCGGAAUCACUGGGCGUAAAGCGUAUGUAGGCGGGCUUUUAAGUCAGGUGUGAAAUCCCAUGGUUCAACCAUGGAAUUGCAUUUGAAACUGGAAGUCUUGAAUGUGGGAGAGAUUGGUAGAAUACCUGGUGUAGUGGUGAAAUACGUAGAUAUCAGGUGGAAUACCGGUGGCGAAGGCGGUUCUCUGGGCAUGUCCUGACGCUGAGGAGCGAAAGUGUGGGGAGCGAACAGG